rnacentral:rRNA from 1 species
UAGGGAAUCUUCCGCAAUGGACGAAAGUCUGACGGAGCAACGCCGCGUGAGUGAUGAAGGUUUUCGGAUCGUAAAACUCUGUUGUUAGGGAAGAACAAGUACAAGAGUAACUGCUUGUACCUUGACGGUACCUAACCAGAAAGCCACGGCUAACUACGUGCCAGCAGCCGCGGUAAUACGUAGGUGGCAAGCGUUGUCCGGAAUUAUUGGGCGUAAAGCGCGCGCAGGCGGUCCUUUAAGUCUGAUGUGAAAGCCCACGGCUCAACCGUGGUGGGUCAUUGGAAACUGGGGGACUUGAGUGCAGAAGAGAAGAGUGGGAUUCCACGUGUAGCGGUGAAAUGCGUAGAGAUGUGGAGGAACACCAGUGGCGAAGGCGACUCUUUGGUCUGUAACUGACGCUGAGGCGCGAAAGCGUGGGGAGCAAACAGGAUUAGAUACCCUGGUAGUCCACGCCGUAAACGAUGAGUGCUAAGUGUUAGAGGGUUUCCGCCCUUUAGUGCUGCAGCAAACGCAUUAAGCACUCCGCCUGGGGAGUACGGCCGCAAGGCUG